rnacentral:rRNA from 1 species
GAUGAACGCUGGCGGCGUGCCUGAUACAUGCAAGUCGAGCGAACAGACGGGGAGCUUGCUCCUCUGACGUUAGCGGCGGACGGGUGAGUAACACGUGGAUAACCUACCUAUAAGACUGGGAUAACUUCGGGAAACCGGAGCUAAUACCGGAUAAUAUAUUGAACCGCAUGGUUCAAUAGUGAAAGACGGUUUUGCUGUCACUUAUAGAUGGAUCCGCGCCGCAUUAGCUAGUUGGUAAGGUAACGGCUUACCAAGGCAACGAUGCGUAGCCGACCUGAGAGGGUGAUCGGCCACACUGGAACUGAGACACGGUCCAGACUCCUACGGGAGGCAGCAGUAGGGAAUCUUCCGCAAUGGGCGAAAGCCUGACGGAGCAACGCCGCGUGAGUGAUGAAGGUCUUCGGAUCGUAAAACUCUGUUAUUAGGGAAGAACAAAUGUGUAAGUAACUAUGGACGUCUUGACGGUACCUAAUCAGAAAGCCACGGCUAACUACGUG